UACGUAGGGGGCUAGCGUUGUCCGGAAUCAUUGGGCGUAAAGCGCGUGUAGGCGGUCCGGUAAGUCCGCUGUGAAAGUCGGGGGCUCAACCCUCGGAUGCCGGUGGAUACUGUCGGGCUAGAGUCCGGAAGAGGCGAGUGGAAUUCCCGGUGUAGCGGUGAAAUGCGCAGAUAUCGGGAGGAACACCAAUGGCGAAGGCAGCUCGCUGGGACGGUACUGACGCUGAGGCGCGAAAGCGUGGGGAGCAAACAGG
rnacentral:rRNA from 1 species